UACGUAGGGGGCAAGCGUUGUCCGGAUUUAUUGGGCGUAAAGCGCUCGCAGGUGGUCCGAUACGUCGUGCGUGAAAGCCCCCGGCUCAACUGGGGAGUGUCGUGCGAUACGGUCGGACUGGAGGCCAGUAGGGGGAUGCGGAAUUCCGGGUGUAGUGGUGGAAUGCGUAGAGAUCCGGAGGAACCCCAGAGGCGAAGGCGGCGCCCUGGCUCGCAACUGACGCUCAGACACGACAGCAUGGGGAGCGAACGGG
rnacentral:rRNA from 1 species